GAUGAACGCUGGCGGCGUGCCUAAUACAUGCAAGUCGAGCGAACGGACGAGAAGCUUGCUUCUCUGAUGUUAGCGGCGGAAGGGUGAGUAACACGUGGAUAACCUACCUAUAAGACUGGGAUAACUUCGGGAAACCGUAGCUAAUACCGGAUAAUAUUUUGAACCGCAUGGUUCAAAAGUGAAAGACGGUCUUGCUGUCACUUAUAGAUGGAUCCGCGCUGCAUUAGCUAGUUGGUAAGGUAACGGCUUACCAAGGCAACGAUGCAUAGCCGACCUGAGAGGGUGAUCGGCCACACGGGAACUGAGACACGGUCCAGACUCCUACGGGAGGCAGCAGUAGGGAAUCUUCCGCAAUGGGCGAAAGCCUGACGGAGCAACGCCGCGUGAGUGAUGAAGGUCUUCGGAUCGUAAAACUCUGUUAUUAGGGAAGAACAUAUGUGUAAGUAACUGUGCACAUCUUGACGGUACCUAAUCAGAAAGCCACGGCUAACUACGUG
rnacentral:rRNA from 1 species